rnacentral:rRNA from 1 species
GACGAACGCUGGCGGCGUGCCUAACACAUGCAAGUCGAGCGAUCGGCCCGGGCGGGGUAACCCGCUCGGGUACGGAGCGGCGAACGGGUGAGUAACACGUGGGUAACCUACCCCAGACACCGGGAUAACCCCGGGAAACCGGGGCUAAUACCGGAUACUCCGGCCGGACCGCAUGGCCUGGCCGGGAAAGCUCAGGCGGUCUGGGAUGGGCCCGCGGCCUAUCAGCUUGUUGGUGGGGUAACGGCCCACCAAGGCUACGACGGGUAGCUGGUCUGAGAGGACGGCCAGCCACACUGGGACUGAGACACGGCCCAGACUCCUACGGGAGGCAGCAUG